ACUCCUGUAGCCCAAUCGGAAGAGGCGGCUGUCUCAAAACCAGUCAAUGUGCGGGUUUCUCCUAACAGAGACGCUACGCGAACGACUCCCGCCAGGAGUACCA
rnacentral:tRNA from 1 species